CCUACGGGUGGCAGCAGUGGGGAAUAUUGGGCAAUGGGCGCAAGCCUGACCCAGCAACGCCGCGUGAAGGAAGAAGGCUUUCGGGUUGUAAACUUCUUUUAAGAGGGAAGAGCAGAAGACGGUACCUCUUGAAUAAGCCACGGCUAACUACGUGCCAGCAGCCGCGGUAAUACGUAGGUGGCAAGCGUUGUCCGGAUUUACUGGGUGUAAAGGGCGUGUAGCCGGGCUGACAAGUCAGAUGUGAAAUUCCGGGGCUCAACCCCGGACCUGCAUUUGAAACUGUUGGUCUUGAGUAUCGGAGGGGCAGGAGGAAUUCCGAGUGUAGCGGUGAAAUGCGUAGAUAUUAGGAGGAACACGAGGGGCGAAGGCGGCCUGCUGGACGACAACUGACGGUGAGGCGCGAAGGCGUGGGGAGCAAACAGGAUUAGAUACCCUAGUAGUC
rnacentral:rRNA from 1 species